GCAGAACUCGCACGGAGACCUCCUUCUGGUUCCAUUGAUGCAAGAGAAGCAGUGAAGAGCAAGAUAUCUCCCCAACCGUUCUGAGAGCCUUCAGGGUGCGACUUCUUCCCACAGGCUACAGUGACUCAUUCAAAAGCGGUCAGGAGCGAAAGACUUCUUGAAUUGCAUGUGGAGCAGAGACGGAGGCAGAGGGGCGGCUCAGAAAGUCCCAUCAUGCAAUAGGGCUGGAUGGACGUCAGAUUCCAAAAAGCUCCUGCAGCUCCUGUUCGGAGAUCACUUGGAGAAGGAAGUUGUUGUCCUUCUGAAGAUAGAAAGAGUCGGCUCCUUCAUUGCUUGAGUCAUCACUCCCAUGUUGGCAAGCAGCUGGCACCUAUGAAAGCGCAUCUCAGAAAGAUCGACAUCUGGAAGAAAAUGCCAACCAUGCUAACAUGCCAGAAAAGAUGCUUCAGCUACGAGGGCAGACAAAAGGCACAUCUAUACAUGAUGCAACCAGCAAAGGGGGAAAAAUGUGUUCAAGGACCA